rnacentral:rRNA from 1 species
AGCCCUUUGGAGUGUAAAACCCUGUCAKYAGGGAAGAAACGGUUGCGGAGGAAAUGACGCAGCCCUGACGGUACCUGCAGAGGAAGUUCCGGCUAACUCCGUGCCAGCAGCCGCGGUAACACGGGGGGAACGAGCGUUGUUCGGAUUCACUGGGCGUAAAGGGUGCGUAGGCGGGCCGGUCAGUCGGGUGUGAAAACUUGCGGCUUAACCGCAGGCCUGCAUUCRAAACUGCCGGUCUUGAGUACGGGARAGGGAAGUGGAAUUCCGGGUGUAGUGGUGAAAUGCGUAGAUAUCCGGAGGAAUACCAGUGGCGAAGGCGACACUCUGGGUCACACCUGACGCUGAGACGCGAAAGCAUGGGGAGCGAACGGGAUUAGAAACCCCGGUAGUCCAUGCCGUAAACGAUGCACACUAAGUGUUCGGKGGGGCACAGCCCCACGGAGUGCUGCAGCUAACGCGCUAAGUGUGCCGCCUGGGGAGUACGGUCGCAAGGCUAAAACUCAAAGGAAUUGACGGGGACCCGCACAAGCGGUGGAGCAUGUGGUUUAAUUCGACGCAACGCGAAGAACCUUACCGGGGUUUGAACUGUUGUGGACGCGUGGCAGAKAUGUGCGCUUCCCUUCGGGGACUGCAACAGAGGUGCUGCAUGGCUGUCGUCAGCUCGUGUCGUGAGAUGUUGGGUUAAGUCCCGCAACGAGCGCWACCCUUGUCUGUAGUUGC